UACGGAGGGAGCUAGCGUUAUUCGGAAUUACUGGGCGUAAAGCGCACGUAGGCGGCUUUGUAAGUUAGAGGUGAAAGCCUGGAGCUCAACUCCAGAAUUGCCUUUAAGACUGCAUCGCUUGAAUCCAGGAGAGGUGAGUGGAAUUCCGAGUGUAGAGGUGAAAUUCGUAGAUAUUCGGAGGAACACCAGUGGCGAAGGCGGCUCACUGGUCCAUUACUGACGCUGAGGUGCGAAAGCGUGGGGAGCAAACAGG
rnacentral:rRNA from 1 species